UUUCAAAGAUGUGGAGUAUCUCUAAUUCAAAUGGUUUGUAGUCGUAACAAUGGUAUAGAAUGGGAUUUGUGAAAGUGUAUAUGUCAGUAACAUGCUUUGUGGAUAACAAAAUUUAAAACAUUUCAAAAUUGUGGGUAUAAAAGGUGCUUCCAGCUUCUGAAAACCAAGAAAAUUUGUGGUUUCUUUGGUACACUCUUUACUUUUUAAGAGGAUUGACAUGGAGUAUUUAGUUAUAAUACAACUACGUGGGUAUAUUUAGCGUAACUCUAUUAUAUCAGAUAGAUGUAUAUCAGAUAUUGUAUUAUCGAAGCUGAUACACAACUAAAAUAGUGAGUUACCAUCAAUUAAGUGUUCAAAUGACUAAUAAUAUUCCGCUGGAAGAAUACAGUAAAUGCAGUAGAUCCUGUAGUGUCAGUCUCGCUAAAAGAUCAGAAUUCUGUAGAGAUCUUAGCUGUAAAGCGGUGGAAGUAUAGUACAUCCACAUAUUCACACAUCAAAACAUCCUAUUAUAAGAUCCUCACUGCGCAAAUGUACACACACUCCUUGCAGUGUCAAAAAAUACAAAUGUACACUCUGCCUGAGCAAAUAACGUUUCAUAAUGAAAAUAUCCAUUAUUAUAUAAUAUGCUGUCAGCAUGUAUUGGAGAACCAAGUUACUCAAGUAGUUCUAGUGAAAGGAUAAUGUUACGUUCACGGUUGUAAACUUUACAUCCGCAUAUGCUACGGAAGUGUGAAUCCGUAAAUAGAAAAUUACAUAGUACAUAGUGAAUAUUGGUAUAAAUCAGAUGGUUUCUGAAAUCCCCAUAACAUACCAGGUGCCCCGUACUCUCCCCAUAACACAACAGACGCUCCGUACUCUCCCCGUGACACAACCAACGAACCGUACUUUCCGCAUAACACAACAGACGCUCCGUACUCUCCCCAUGACACAACAAACGAACCGUACUUUCCCCAUAACACAACAGACGCUCCGUACUCUCCCCAUGACACAACAAACGAACCGUACUUUCCCCAUAACACAACAGGCUCUCCGUACUCUCCCCAUAACAAAACAGACGCUCCGUACCCUCCCCAUAACACAACAGACGCUUCGUACUCUCCACAUAACACAACAGACGCUCCGUACUCUCCCCAUAACACAACAGACGCUCCGUACUCUCCCCAUAACACAACAGACGCUCCGUACUUCCUCCCCAUAACACAACAGACGCUCCGUACUCUCCCCAUAACACAACAGACGCUCCGUACUCUCCCCAUAACACAACAGACGCUCCGUACCACUCCCCCAUAACAGACGCAACAGACGCUCCGUACUCUCCUCAUAACACAACAGACGCUCCGUACCCUCCCCAUAACACAACAGACGCUCCGUACUCUUCCAAUAACACAACAGGCGCUCCGUACUCUCCCCAUAACACAACAGACGUUCCUACCCUCCCCAUAACACAACAGACGCUCUCUACCAUCGCCAUAACACAACACACGCUCCGUACUCUGCACAUAACACAACAGACGCACCGUACUUUCCCCAUAACACAACAGGCGUUCCGUACUCUCCCCAUAACACAACAGGUAUUCCGUACUCUCCACAUAACACAGGAGACGCUCCGUACUCUCCUCAAAACAAAACAGGUGCCCCGUACUCUCCCCAUAACACAACAGACGCUCCGUACUCUUCCCAUAACACAACAGACGUUCCGUACUCCCCAACAACAGACGCACAUCACUUGUCUCGGUCUCUCCUGAACACCACGGAGUUAAUUCUAACAACCCAACACCGACACCAACAAUCCCAACGACACCUACAUCAACACCCACGUCCACAUCCACAUCCGCACCUCCACCCACACCAAUACCCUAAACACAACCCAUCCACUGACACCCAACCCCCCAUCGAUAUCCACCCCGACACACACCACUCCCACAUCCACCCUUCAUGGAUAUUCCAGUUGUCAUUACAUGCAUAUUGGAUGUGAGUGUGACGCAUCUAUUGGGAAAUAAUGAUAAUUGGUACAGUAAGUCCGUGUAAGUCUGGUUGCGCGGAAACAUCGUCCCUACAGGCUCCAUGUUUGCAUUGUAAGAAUGAUAUAUAGAAUCAAUAAAUAACUAUAUAAUG